rnacentral:rRNA from 1 species
AUGAACGCUGGCGGCGUGCCUAAUACAUGCAAGUCGAGCGAACAGACGAGGAGCUUGCUCCUCUGACGUUAGCGGCGGACGGGUGAGUAACACGUGGAUAACCUACCUAUAAGACUGGGAUAACUUCGGGAAACCGGAGCUAAUACCGGAUAAUAUAUUGAACCGCAUGGUUCAAUAGUGAAAGACGGUUUUGCUGUCACUUAUAGAUGGAUCCGCGCCGCAUUAGCUAGUUGGUAAGGUAACGGCUUACCAAGGCAACGAUGCGUAGCCGACCUGAGAGGGUGAUCGGCCACACUGGAACUGAGACACGGUCCAGACUCCUACGGGAGGCAGCAGUAGGGAAUCUACCGCAAUGGGCGAAAGCCUGACGGAGCAACGCCGCGUGAGUGAUGAAGGUCUUCGGAUCGUAAAACUCUGUUAUUAGGGAAGAACAAAUGUGUAAGUAACUAUGCACGUCUUGACGGUACCUAAUCAGAAAGCCACGGCUAACUACGUG